AUUAGCUAGUUGGUAAGGUAACGGCUUACCAAGGCGACGAUCAGUAGCCGACCUGAGAGGGUGAUCGGCCACACUGGAACUGAGACACGGUCCAGACUCCUACGGGAGGCAGCAGUGGGGAAUAUUGCACAAUGGGCGCAAGCCUGAUGCAGCAACGCCGCGUGAGUGAAGAAGGCCUUCGGGUCGUAAAACUCUGUCCUAUGGGAAGAAACAAAUGACGGUACCAUGGGAGGAAGCCCCGGCUAACUACGUGCCAGCAGCCGCGGUAAUACGUAGGGGGCAAGCGUUAUCCGGAAUCACUGGGCGUAAAGGGUGCGUAGGUGGCUUAUCAAGCCAGGGGUGAAAGGCAUUGGCUCAACCAAUGUAAGCCUUUGGAACUGAUAGGCUUGAGUGCAGGAGAGGUAAGUGGAAUUCCUAGUGUAGAGGUGAAAUUCGUAGAUAUUAGGAGGAACACCAGUGGCGAAGGCGACUUACUGGACUGUAACUGACACUGAGGCACGAAAGCGUGGGUAGCGAACAGGAUUAGAUACCCUGGUAGUCCACGCCGUAAAC
rnacentral:rRNA from 1 species